rnacentral:rRNA from 1 species
GUCCACGCCCUAAACGAUGUCAACUGGUUGUUGGGUGCAUUAGUACUCAGUAACGAAGCUAACGCGUGAAGUUGACCGCCUGGGGAGUACGGCCGCAAGGUUGAAACUCAAAAGGAAUUGACGGGGACCCGCACAAGCGGUGGAUGAUGUGGUUUAAUUCGAUGCAACGCGAAAAAACCUUACCUACCUUUGACAUGUAUGGAAUUCACCAGAGAUGGCUUAGUGCUCGAAAGAGAGCCAUAACACAGGUGCUGCAUGGCUGUCGU